GACGAACGCUGGCGGCGUGCUUAACACAUGCAAGUCGAACGGAAAGGCCCUGCUUUUGUGGGGUGCUCGAGUGGCGAACGGGUGAGUAACACGUGAGUAACCUGCCCUUGACUUUGGGAUAACUUCAGGAAACUGGGGCUAAUACCGGAUAGGAGCUCCUGCUGCAUGGUGGGGGUUGGAAAGUUUCGGCGGUUGAGGAUGGACUCGCGGCUUAUCAGCUUGUUGGUGGGGUAGUGGCUUACCAAGGCUUUGACGGGUAGCCGGCCUGAGAGGGUGACCGGCCACAUUGGGACUGAGAUGCGGCCCAGACUCCUACGGGAGGCAGCAGUGGGGAAUAUUGCACAAUGGGCGGAAGCCUGAUGCAGCAACGCCGCGUGCGGGAUGACGGCCUUCGGGUUGUAAACCGCUUUCGCCUGUGACGAAGCGUGAGUGACGGUAAUGGGUAAAGAAGCACCGGCUAACUACGUG
rnacentral:rRNA from 1 species